GUCGAGCGAAUGGAUUAAGAGCUUGCUCUUAUGAAGUUAGCGGCGGACGGGUGAGUAACACGUGGGUAACCUGCCCAUAAGACUGGGAUAACUCCGGGAAACCGGGGCUAAUACCGGAUAACAUUUUGAACCGCAUGGUUCGAAAUUGAAAGGCGGCUUCGGCUGUCACUUAUGGAUGGACCCGCGUCGCAUUAGCUAGUUGGUGAGGUAACGGCUCACCAAGGCAACGAUGCGUAGCCGACCUGAGAGGGUGAUCGGCCACACUGGGACUGAGACACGGCCCAGACUCCUACGGGAGGCAGCAGUAGGGAAUCUUCCGCAAUGGACGAAAGUCUGACGGAGCAACGCCGCGUGAGUGAUGAAGGCUUUCGGGUCGUAAAACUCUGUUGUUAGGGAAGAACAAGUGCUAGUUGAAUAAGCUGGCACCUUGACGGUACCUAACCAGAAAGCCACGGCUAACUACGUGCC
rnacentral:rRNA from 1 species